UCCCGGUUGGCCCGGGCAGUCUCGCAUGAAAAAUACAACAUACGAUAAGGGUUGCGCUCGUUGCGGGACUUAACCCAACAUCUCACGACACGAGCUGACGACGGCCAUGCAGCACCUGUCACUAGGCUCCCUAAGGCACCCCGAUGUUUCCACCAGGUUCCUAGGAUGUCAAGCCUCGGUAAGGUUCUCCGCGUAGCGUCACAUUAAACCACAUCAUCCUCCGCUUGUGCGGGUCCCCGUCAAUUCCUUUGAGUUUUAGCCUUGCGGCCGUACUUCCCAGGCGGCAUACUUAACGCGUUAGCUUCGUCGCACAGGGGGUCGAUACCCCAUACGACUAGUAUGCAUCGUUUACGGCGUGGACUAC
rnacentral:misc_RNA from 1 species